ensembl:antisense Gm38134 predicted gene, 38134
CUGUCUGGAAAAAAAAAAAAAAGAGAGGUAGAGAGACAGAGGGAGAGAGGGAGAAAGAGAGAAAAGGAAAGGAAAGUAGAAAAAAAUACAUUCUAAUUUAAUGUUUGUGCACCAAUGUCAGGAUCUUCUUGAGAGACACUCAUGAAAUAUCUACUCAACCAUGUAUUUAUAUUUAUCUUUCCAAGCAGGUUAGAAACUUCCUGGUAUUCAUCUAUUUUCUAUACUAAUGAACUCCCUUUAACAUUAGCUGCACCAUCCACAUUUAAUAUCAAAAGUCAUUAAAUCCUAGCCUGGUAUCCCAGCUAAUUCAGGAAAACUACAAAUUCAAAGGCUAUGUAAACAGUUAAAACAUUCUAGACAUGGGCUGGUGAGAUGGCUCACGGGUAAGAGCACUGACUGCUCUCCUGGAGGUCCUGAGUUCAAAUUCCACCAACCACAUGGUGGCUCACAACCAUCCAUAAUGAAAUAUGAUGCCCUCUUCUGGUGAGUCUAAAGUCAGUUACAGUGUACUUAUGUAUAAUAAUAAAUCUAUGGGCCAGAGCAAGCAGGGACUAAGCAAGCAGGGCUGACCUGAGCGAGCAGGGCCAACAGGAGCAAGCAGAGGUCCCUAAAAUAAUUCAAUUCCCAACAACCACAUGAUGGCUCACAACCAUCUGUACGUUACAGUGUGCUUGUAUGCAUAAAUAAAUAAAUAAAUAAAUAAACCUUUUAAAAGUAACAAUUUGUUUUUCUCAUUAACUAGUAAAUAUGUAUUUAAGUAUUUUUAAAUUACAUUAUUUGUGUGUGUGGCACACAUGCUACAGCAGCUGUGAAAGUUUAAAGGCAACCUGUAAGAGUUGUUUUUCCUUCGACUCUGAGUCCUGGGACGGAACUUGAAUCAUGAAGCUUGGUGGCCAAAGCUUUUACUCAAAGAGCCAUCUCAGACUAAGCCUAUGCUUUCAGUAACAGCUUUACUGAGCUGACCUCUAUCACACAAUCUACCCAUGGUAGUGUACAAUUCACUGGUUCUUAGUACAGUCUAGAAAACAUGCAACUGUUACCACAACUUUAACACAUUUACUUAUCUCAAAAAGAAAUAAUAAGCAUGCUCUUGUCACUUCAUACCCCAGCACACGUGGAAGCCCUAAGAAAUCACAAGUCUUGCUACCCCUAUAAAAUUGUCUGCUCUGGAUACGAUUUAGAAACAGCAUCACAUAAAUACAGACUUUUAUAUCUGGAUUUUUAAACCCUAC